UAGGGAAUCUUCGGCAAUGGGGGGAACCCUGACCGAGCAACGCCGCGUGAGUGAAGAAGGUUUUCGGAUCGUAAAGCUCUGUUGUUAAGGAAGAACGAGUGUGAGAAUGGAAAGUUCAUACUGUGACGGUACUUAACCAGAAAGGGACGGCUAACUACGUGCCAGCAGCCGCGGUAAUACGUAGGUCCCGAGCGUUGUCCGGAUUUAUUUGGCGUAAAGCGAGCGCAGGCGGUUAGAUAAGUCUGAAGUUAAAGGCAGUGGCUCAACCAUUGUAGGCUUUGGAAACUGUUUAACUUGAGUGCAGAAGGGGAGAGUGGAAUUCCAUGUGUAGCGGUGAAAUGCGUAGAUAUAUGGGGGAACACCGGUGGCGAAAGCGGCUCUCUGGUCUGUAACUGACGCUGAGGCUAGAAAGCGUGGGGAGCGAACAGG
rnacentral:rRNA from 1 species